ensembl:lncRNA
GUGGGUCAGAGCGAGGCGUGGGAUUUACACUGCGGAAGUCCCAGUGAGAGUUUGCUGUUUCUUGCUGCCACUUUGUCUCUCUCUCUCUCUCUCUCUCACACACACACACACACACACACACACACACACACACACACACGCACGCACACACGGAAUGGCAGAGAAUUAUAGCCGGGCAGUCAGAUGGUGGACAAUGUGCUGCGGAGCUUCAGAGGCGGAGAGAGCACGUCCGGAUGGAGAGUAUGGGCAGCCCGGGGUGGGGCAGGAAGGAGGCGGCUUUCGUUUCUGGGUCUCUGAGAGGCCAGAGUUGGAUGUUGCGCUCUGAGUCUAGGUGGGUGGCUUCUCACACCUGGAGAACCAAAGGCAGAGUCAGUUUAGUCCACGCUCUUGGCUCAGUGCGUGCUAUUCCCACACCAGGGAAGUCUGGAGGGCUGGGGGUGGAGUGGAAGUGGUUUUCAACUCAGUUUGACCAAGGAGCUUUCCUGGAAUGGGCCCUGGGGAGAAAUCCGAUGCAGCAGGGUCGAUUAGGAGCUGGAUUUUACUGUAGAUUUGGCAUAGCCUGACUCCCGCCCGCCCCACUGCUCCCUCUCCCCCUACGCCCCCACCCCUGCUGCCUUGCCUGGGCCAGCUCCGUGUUGGGUGGUGGAGGGGGGCACGGGUUUUGGCUCCCUGGGGUCUCACAGGGAGGGAUAAGGUUGCAGGCCUCAGGGCCCCAGUGUUUGCCUAGAAACUCAAGAAGAAUCCUCCAGGAUGGGCAGAGGGAUGUGGGGUGACCCGUGGAGGGGUGUAGGUAACCCGAGUCAAAGAAAAUAAGCCCGCUACAUGGUGCAGGCACUCAGAGAGCAGCUCACAGGCUGCCAGGGGCGUGCGGCUACUGGGAGCGGGUGAUGGGUCAGGGCAGAGCCAGUGUGCCCUGGGCCCUGGUGGGCGGGCGUGUGCCCUGGCUGGGCCCCUACCCCUCCGGGUGCCCCAGCUGUCUGCACCUGGCCAUGCCAGCAGUUGUGUUCCUGAGCUGGCCCUGGCCACAGCAAGUUGGGCUUCACCGGCCAGCCUGCCCCUCCUCCCACUCGGGAAGGAGAGGCUGGGGACAGCUCUGCAGACCUCGGGUGGUUUGGAUCAAGCCAAGGAGCUGGAUGAGCUGGAAGCCACCCUGUGUCCAGUGCUUGCUGAGACCUGGUGGACCCCCGGCCCUUCUGAAUCCUUGGACAGUGGGCACAGUGCCCGAGUGCCUCCUCUGGGGCUUCACGGGGCAAGCACAUUCCCCUUCCCUUCUGGGCCACCACAGGGCUCAGGGCCAGUGGGACCUCAGAGGGCCCUGGGCUGUGGCUGCUGAGCCCAAUAGGCGGCCACCUGGGAAGCUGUGACAAAGGCACAUUCCAGGCUCCCAGCCCAGAAGCUCUGGAUGCCCAAGUUGGACUCCUCCCGCCCUGUGAUUGAUUCUGCAGAUCCCACGCUCAAGGCCGCCGUCCCCUGGGGCAGUGGAGCUCUGCAGUGCGUCAGCAGUCAGCAGCUUGUGCUUGGCAACCACCUUGCUCCUUGGAUUUACUGUUCUCAUUAAGGCCAGCUCCAGACCCGCCAGAGGCAGGGCGCCCUGCGCAUGUGCAGCCAGCCUUGAAGGCUCCCUAAGCCUGUGCAGGUCCCCUGAGGGGCAGAUGGGAUCUGACCACGUUACCCAGGCUGGUUUUGAAUUCCUGGCUUCCUGAGUAGCUGGGACCACAGGCACACACUGCCAUGCCUGGCUACUAUGCUGUCCGAUCCCCAGGAUGUGAGCAUCUGAGAAUCUUGGUGUCUGCAGGGGCCCUGGAGCUCCUCCAAAUACCAAGGUGACUGUGUAGGUGAAGAGGGAGAGAAAACACACAUGGUGUGUAAGUAAAGGGUAGUAUAGUAAAACAGAUACAGACAUUCUUCAUACUAUUUUUAGUUUUGCAAUUUUUUUUAACUAUUCAAAAUUUUUUUUGAAAUAAAAACAUUGAUAAAGGGUGUGUGGUUUAUUCAAGGACACAGAGCAAAGGGGCAGUUGGAUGAGUGGUUUCCUUGUCCAAGAACAUCCCGGCCACUUCUUAUAGUCUCUGGAUUUAUAUAUUUUAGACUCAGUGUCAAUGCCAGCUUCUCUGGCUUCCUAGUUCUGUGUGUCCAGAUUUCAUGUACUUGUCUUUCCCCUUAUUGUGGCAGAUCGAAGUGAAUUCUUUUUUUGGUUGUUGAGCUUUGCUUUUUUGAGGCAGGGUCUUGAUAUCUAGUGUAGGCUGAUCUUGGACACGUGGCCAUCCUUCUGCCUCAGCCUCCUGAGUACUGUGAUCUCAGGUGUGCACCCCUACACCCUGUUAAAAGUGAAUUGUUUUUUCUUUUUGGUACCAGGGAUCGAACUUGGGACCUUGCGCUUGCAAGGUAGGCAGCGGAACCACCGAGCUAAAUCCCUGGCCCUGAAGUGAAUUCUUUGACAUUUCAUUUCUUUUGCUUUUGCUGCCUGUCAGUUCUGUGUGGAUAGGGCCUUGUGUGUCUUGUUCCUGGCUGAACCCCAAGGGCAGAGCCCAGUGGCUGUAUUACCGUAGGUGCCCAAGAAAUAUUUACUGGAAGAGUUAAUGAGUAAGUGAAGGAGAGAGACGCAUGGCCUCUGCCAGGCCACCCUCUUUGCUGUUGUGGAGCAGCCAUGACACAGAGGUGACCUGUAUUUCACCUGUGUGGCCAUGGGGAGCAGGGGCCGGGGCGCUCCAGUCCAGGGCCGCCCAGGCCCUGUGACCAAAGUGUGCCCAGGACCCCGGGCAUGUUUAUGUUAAUUCUGAAUACCAAAUGCAUCCAUUUACCCAAAAUCCCCAAAGCGGAAACACACAGAGUAGGGCAUGGGCCCCUUCCACCCUGCCCUCUCUGCUCCCAGCUGCUCUUACUGGUGUUCAUUUUCUGAAGGGCCCUCCGAUGUAUAUUGUUUAUUUACUUAUUUAUUUUGUUUCUUGACACAGCGUCUCAAUGUAUCAUUCAGGCUGUUCUUGAACUCAUGAGAUAAUCCAGGCUGGGCUUGAACUUGCAGUGAUCCUCCUGCCUCAGCCUCCGAGCACUGUGAUUCCAGGUGUGCACCACCGUGGGUAGUUUAGGCGUGCACAACCAAAUCUGUGUGAGCGUGGAUGUCCCUGCACUCUGGUUGUACUUUGCCUUGCUCAUGUAAUGACAGGUCACGGCCCGAUUUGUUUCAUAAGAGUUCCUGAAAGUCUGUCUUUGGUUUCGUUGGGAUUGGUUUCCUUGGGGCUGCUGCGCAUAUAUGGGUGUCGGUGGGUAAGUGGAAAUGCCUACAGGUCUACGAUCGAAGGAGCCAGCUCCAAACCUUCCCUGCUGUGCUGGGAGCCUCCUGCUGCCACGGGGAGUGAAGAGCACUGAGGAAUGACAGAGCAAGAGGCAGGGACCUCAGAGCACCCAAGUCCGGCAUGGUGAUCACCAGCUGCCAAAUCCAACGUGGCUACGAAGGCAAAGUACUCUGCAGCUGACUCAACUGGAAGGCACAGGGAGGGUAAGAUGUCAACUGCAGUUUGAAGAUUUAAUUUAAAAACGU